rnacentral:rRNA from 1 species
AAGCUGGACAGCGGCGCAAGGGUGAGUAACGCGUAGUUACCUGCCUCAGGGUCUGGAAUAGCCUCGGGAAACUGUCGGUAAUACCGGAUGAUAUCUGCGGAUCAAAGGUGUGAUUCCGCCUGGGGAUGGUUCCGCGUCCUAUUAGCUUGUUGGUGAGGUAACGGCUCACCAAGGCUUCGAUGGGUAGCGGGCGUGAGAGCGUGGCCCGUCACACUGGGACUGAGACACUGCCCAGACGUCUACGGAUGGCUGCAGUCGAGAAUCUUUGUCAAUGGGCGAAAGCCUGAACAAGCGAUGCCGCGUGCGGGAUGAAGGCCUUCGGGUUGUAAACCGCUGUCGGAGGGGAACAAGGCUCCGUGAAGAGCGAUUUUGACUACCCCCUCGGAGGAAGUCCGGGCUAAGUUCGUGCCAGCAGCCGCGGUAACACGAACCGGACAAACGUUAUUCGGAAUUACUGGGCUUAAAGGGUGCGUAGGCGGCGCUAUAAGUCGGGUGUGAAAUCCCCCGGCUCAACCGAGGAACUGCGUCCGAAACUGCCGUGCUCGAGGGAGAUAGGGGUGAGCGGAACUCACGGUGGAGCGGUGAAAUGCGUUGAUAUCGUGAGGAACGCCGGUGGCGAAAGCGGCUCACUGGAUCUCUUCUGACGCUGAGGCACGAAAGCUAGGGGAGCGAACGGGAUUAGAUACCCCGGUAGUCCUAGCUGUAAACGAUGAGCACUAGAUCGAGGGGACCCCCACAUCCUCUCGGUCGUAGCGAAAGUGUUAAGUGCUACGCCUGGGGAGUAUGGUCGCAAGGCUGAAACUCAAAGGAAUUGACGGGGGCUCACACAAGCGGUGGAGGAUGUGGCUUAAUUCGAGGCUACGCGAAGAACCUUAUCCUAGUCUUGACAUGCACGGAUUAACCCUGUGAAAGCAGGGGCGCGCCAUCGGGUGAAACUGUCACAGGUGCUGCAUGGCUGUCGUCAGCUCGUGUCGUGAGAUGUCGGGUUAAGUCCCUUAACGAGCGAAACCCUUGUCACUAGUUGCCAGCGCGUAAUGGCGGGGACUCUAGUGAGACUGCCGGUGUUAAACCGGAGGAAGGUGGGGAUGACGUCAAGUCCUCAUGGCCUUUAUGGUCCGGGCUGCACACGUCCUACAAUGCCGCGCACAAAGGGAAGCAAACUCGCGAGAGUAAGCAAAUCCCAAAAAACGCGGCCCAGUUCGGAUUGCAGGCUGCAACCCGCCUGCAUGAAGCCGGAAUCGCUAGUAAUCGCGGGUCAGCAUACCGCGGUGAAUACGUUCCUGAGCCUUGUACACACCGCCCGUCAAGCCACGAAAGUGGGGGGCGCUUAAAGUCGCUGAGCUAACUUCGGAAGCAGGCGCCUAGAGUCAACUCCGCGAUUGGGACUAAGUCGUAACAA